rnacentral:lncRNA from 1 species
AGCUUCAGCCGUCAGAUCCGAACUCUCUGGCAAGUCACGAUAAUAGCCACUACCCUACUCCACUCUCUGUAACAGAUUCCACGUGGCUCCACCACUCUCUGGCAAGUCGCAACAAUGGACACCACUCCACUCUCCAUAACAAACUCCACGUGGCCCUGAACGGCCUCCUGACGCCACUAUUCUCCGUAACAAACUCCGCAUGAUCCUGAACAGCCCACUAUUAGACGGUUACAGACGUCACUGUCAAUCAGUUAUGCUCUCCGUCUAUAAAAAGGGAUCCCC